rnacentral:rRNA from 1 species
CCUAACACAUGCAAGUCGAACGGUAACAGGAAACAGCUUGCUGUUUCGCUGACGAGUGGCGGACGGGUGAGUAAUGUCUGGGAAACUGCCUGAUGGAGGGGGAUAACUACUGGAAACGGUAGCUAAUACCGCAUAACGUUGCAAGACCAAAGAGGGGGACCCUCGGGCCUCUUGCCAUCGGAUGUGCCCAGAUGGGAUUAGCUUGUUGGUGGGGUAACGGCUCACCAAGGCGACGAUCCCUAGCUGGUCUGAGAGGAUGACCAGCCACACUGGAACUGAGACACGGUCCAGACUCCUACGGGAGGCAGCAGUGGGGAAUAUUGCACAAUGGGCGCAAGCCUGAUGCAGCCAUGCCGCGUGUAUGAAGAAGGCCUUCGGGUUGUAAAGACUUUCAGCGGGGAGGAAGGGAGUAAAGUUAAUACCUUUGCUCAUUGACGUUACCCGCAGAAGAAGCACCGGCUAACUCCGUGCCAGCAGCCGCGGUAAUACGGAGGGUGCAAGCGUUAAUCGGAAUUACUGGGCGUAAAGCGCACGCAGGCGG